UACUAAAGCUGGUAUGAACUGUGUAGGAGAUGCUGCCUGCAGUAAGUCUUAAGCCAGGAGGAGGAGGAGGAUGUUUUAUGUGAUGUAACAAAGCUUUCUAUAGUCCUAGGGAGUCACUAGCUUCAUAGUAGACUUUCCUCAGUGAAGAGAGAGUAGGGUACAAAACCUGAAACUAUUGAAGCCAAAGUAACCCCAGUGCUCCCAACAUUUUUAGCAGGCGAAUAGACUUUGUAUUUCAAAACCCUGAGGAAUUAAAAUUUGUCCUUUGCAUACAGAGCUCUGAAUAUGCAUUUAGGGUGGCUACAGAGCAAAGCAUUCCUGAAUUACAGGUGAAACAAGUGUGUUCAAAGUCCAGAGGAAGGACCUGAAGAACAUAGCCACAGAUUCAGACUUCAGGUUACUGGUUUCAUAUUCUUUGAUCCAGUGCAUGUAAGGACACACUUAAAGUGUCGGUAAUCUGUGCCUGGCAGAUACAUAACUUGUCUGUGGUAGUAGCAGGCUGCACUCCCAGCUGACUCAGGCUUGCCACUGCUAAGGCAUCAACUUGACAGUUGAUAGUUUGAAUUUUGGAAGAGAUAAGUAGUUCAUAGGCCAUGAAGCUAAUUACAGUGCUUAUUAAGAAGUGUCACUAAAUCCGUCUAAGGCUGAUAAUGAAUUUUAUCAAAUAAUCUUGUUAAAGUGGAAGUAGAUUAGUAGAGCAGAGGUGGGGUUUUUUGUACAGUGCUCAGCAUAAUAGAGCCUAAAUGCAGCUGAAUAACUUGAAUUUCAGCUGUGUUAAGAAUUUUCCUGUGAGUUGAGUCUAGCAUUUCAAGCACAGUAGGAAAACAGGUAGCUAGCAAACUAUUGGAAACACAACUGAAUACCACGCAGGGUGAAUAGACAAGCCUUUAGCUGUCACUUCAAUUUCUUGUCUGCUAAAGACCAAGGUUUAGAACUACUUGCACAAAACUUAGGCAUUAUCAAGAUGGUCGGAAUCCCUCUUCAAGGUAAGUUUGGGAGGGUGGGGUUUAUUUUUUGUUUAAAACUAAAUGUCUACUAAACAUUCUGUCCUUUAGAAGUGGCACUUCUAAAGAGGUUACUUUCUAAGUUGACACCUUGUUUUCCUGUGAGGAUACUCCAUCCCACACACUCAUUCUCAGUGCUGUGAUGCCUCUCUUGUGCAGCCACCUACUGCAGGAGUGAAAAUCUUAGUGCCGUCAAUUCUUCAAUGUGGUUCACUGAGUGAGUGCUUUACCAGUAAUGCUGGCAUGCAUGGGACUGGAAUGGGGAAGGCUCAAAUAAUUUCCAGGUGUCAAAGCACAGCCUUUGUGUAGUGCUGCGGAUGCCCUACAGCAAGCUUAGGUUGUUAUGUUAGAAGAUAAAGUUAGAAUUGAAGAGGGCCUCAAAGAGGGGUGGAGUAAGGUAGGUUAUUUAGCAAACUCCAUACCAGCUCACUGUAGUGGAAGAUAAAUUGUGUGAGAGAAGUGAUGAAAACAGGAAAAACAGAAUUAUCUCCCUUGGUUGUUUUAAGGGAAGACCUUGUACAGAGGAGAAAGAAUUGCUUUGAAAAAAUGACAGUAUGUACAACCUAAAGGAGGUUUCUGGUUUUUCCCAACCUUGUUUUGGCCAUGGUUAAUGUCAGGAAUAACAGAAAAGUUUUCUUUACUGUCUGUCCCCUAAUAAUUUGCAUCAGAUCGCUGCAUAAAUCUGAGGAUGUGAUGCAGCUGCUGCAAAAUGCAGUGAUCGGAGUGAUAGCCCCCCCCAGGUGUGUGUGUGUGUGUUGUGGGUUUUUUGUGAUGGUUUAUAUCUGGUCCACUCAAUGUCCUACUUUACAAGUUGCCUUUUCUAUCUGCCAGUGCUUUAAAUUCAUCCUAGAGUCUUAAAAAUAAUGUUUGUCGAGAGUUACCUGUGAAGAAACUCAAGGACACAGUGUACUGUUUUUUCCCCCUGGAAGUUUAAGGCAGAAUUCAGUGAAACGGUACACUUGUUCUGAACUGUAGGAUGUCCCAGAAAUUGUAGAAAUCCUGGGUGCCGCACGGUGCGCCUAGUUUUUAUGCCCAGGGCGCCUGGGCUUAGACAUAAUAGGCUGCAGGAUCUGCAUAGUGGCUCUAGUAGCUGUUUCUCAGAAACAGGGCAAUACAAGGCUGGUGGUCGUAUUCUGGGUCAGUAUCAGGAGUAUAGCUUCUACUGCCCUCGUGCACUGGAAAAAAAGAAUCACAGGUGGUAUGAUCCAGAAACAUGAAAUUUGAGAAUGUUACCACUUAAUUUUCAUUUUUAUUGUCAUGCUUGUCCUUCCAGGGAAACACAACUGGGUUUUGGCUGUCUACCUGGGGCUGUGUUUUCUACUGCAAGCUUGAAAGUCACCUGGGAAAUACCAGUGUUAACGUAACUGCUGAACGAUACAGCUGAACCUAUGGGUGUGGGAGGUGAUCACUCUCAAGGCAAGGAUGAACAGAAUAGAGGGGACGAGCUUGUGUUAAAAUUCUUCCCUCAUAUUGGAGGCACAAAGUGUGAAAAAAGCCAGGGCAGGAUCCAGGAUGCUCCUUCAUUCUCUUUGCAGAGAAACCGAAGAAUGUGGUCUGGGGAAACCUGCUUCUGGUUUGCAUGCCAUCCCUCCCCGGCGGCGUCACCAGCAUUGCCAGUUCCUAUGAGGUACUCUGCUUGGUGACUAGAGAACUUUAUUUAGCAGGACACACAAUCAAGCAGCUCCAAUUGGGAAACUAUGUAAGAGCAAAAUUAAAAAAAAAAAUAACCAGUGUUGAAAGAAACUAAUUAGGUACAUAAUAUCUAGAAUCACAUCCGUGGUAACUUAGCUAUGCAUUGCAUAAAUGUAUUGUUUAUGAAUAAACUGUAAUAUUGUCAGUCCCUAACUUCUACAUGCUUUUCAUGCCACCAGGGCUUGGAUAAUCAUUUUAUGCAGGAAUUUCCUGAGAGCUGAUCACCCUUUAUGCUAUGUGGUCUCUCCUGACUUCACCUUUCAGGAGCUAUGGGCAGUAACUGCAGUAUGGGUAUGCGUAUAAUGGCUUGGCAGGUCUCCACAGUUGUGGAAUUUACAAUCAUUGCUGUAUGUGUAAUGCUUGGAACAGCUUUUUUUUUUUAUUUCUGGUGGAUGAUGAAUUAGGCCAUCUGUCUCCAAUGUCUGCUGACCCUUCCCCCCACUCUCCUCUUUCUGGGUAUGUUGGCACUGCUGCACAGUCAGCCAAGGUCAAGGUCUGGAGCCUGGGUCUUUGACCUUCACUGCUGAGACCACGGUGGCUCAGUCCUCACUUUCCUAGGGUAAUUCUCCAGUAUGUUAUGCACCCACAGGUCUGAGAUGCCAUGCAAGGAGGAGGGAUCCCUUUACAGUAACAUUAAGAAUGCGAUAGUAGGAACUUCCUUCACACAUGUAGCUGAUACUUGAAGAAUACCUUAUGCCUAAAGUUAAUGAGUGGGCUAGUUUUUCAAACUAUGAAUGGGACACUUCCUGAUUUGCACCAAAAAAGGCAGGUGAUGCCUGAAAUCAGAUUAAUUGAACAUAGAUCUGAAAAUGUUAGAUGCAGAUGCACUUAAACAUCGUUGAGACAAAUGGAAGCUUUGAUAAAACAGAAACAGAAAGCCAAGUAAAUUUGUCUUGGAUCAUUCCAUUUUGUUCCUGGCCUGAAAUAAAAAUACAUGGUAGUGAUAUAAGUGUCAGAAGCCAAACAGAUGUGAAGGUUUACCUCUAUAAACCAACAUAGUGUUAGUAACUGUAGAACUUGAUCCAAAAUUUCUGAGAUUAAUGGGAAUUUUUCUGCUGAGUUUAUUGGGCUUUGGAUUAAGUGCAUAGAUACGAAAGACUUUAUGUAACAGCUCGCAGCAGUAAAGAUCUCUGCAAGCACUUGGGGAAUCUUUGGGAAGCUUUUCAGUAAACACCUACAUCUUUAGCAUGAGUGUAAGACUGGAAGGCUUGUUUACUGCUGUUGGCAGUCAUCAUAGGGAUAUACGGGUGCCUGGGCAGCUCUGCAGGGAGGGGACUUCUGCAGUAUUGCCAGUGUUGUUACAAUAUGAGGAGUGAAGUGUAACAACAACAAAGAAAAAAAAGUGAGAGUGUAUGAAAAUUUUGGGGCUUAUAUAGAAGGCGGUAGGUCCUUUUGGCUUGAUGCUUCCCUUUUGGCCUUUAAAGGUGCGUGCAAACCAUACUUCAAAGCGAUUGUGCACAUCCAGGAAAGCUAGGAGUUUUUAAUUGAAACCUGAAAUUCCCAUGCAGUGGUAUGACUCCAUCAUGUAGGGCUAAAAAAUGGAGGAGAGCAUCAUGAGAUCUGCAUUCACUCUUUGGAAGAGGUGAUACUGAGCUAGUGGAGGGAAUGAUGGAAUGAGAUUUAAUGGAUUUGAUCAGCAGUGAGGGAGAAUGGGAAAUCCCUAAGCAUGGGAAGUAAUCAAAACACAUCUGAUGACAGAGGAGAUGUAGGAUGCCUGGAAAAAAGUAACUCUCUUGUGAUUCUAGAUCUUUUCCUCUGACAAAGAAAAAUUGACUAGUGCUAUGCAAAUUCUGUGCACAAUAUGUUUAGCCCAAUAGUUCCAAAGGGUUGUUAGUUUUCAGCUUUUUUUCACUUGGCUAGUUUCAAGUACAUGUUUUUGCACCUGU